CAGCAGCCGCGGUAAUACGUAGGGUGCGAGCGUUAAUCGGAAUUACUGGGCGUAAAGCGUGCGCAGGCGGUUAUAUAAGACAGAUGUGAAAUCCCCGGGCUCAACCUGGGACCUGCAUUUGUGACUGUAUAGCUAGAGUACGGUAGAGGGGGAUGGAAUUCCGCGUGUAGCAGUGAAAUGCGUAGAUGUGCGGAGGAACACCGAUGGCGAAGGCAAUCCCCUGGACCUGUACUGACGCUCAUGCACGAAAGCGUGGGGAGCAAACAGGAUUAGAUACCCGCGUAGUCCCUGUCUCUUAUAA
rnacentral:rRNA from 1 species